AUUCGGGCUGAUAACUAGGCGGCCGGUCUCAAUCACCUACGACGUCUGCCUUUUAAGUGUCCGAUAUAUCAAUUUGCGAAGAUCUUACACGUUUCCAAAGCGCUAUCAUAGCAUUUUCUGUAUUUGACGACUUUUAAAUCUUCACAACAUAC
rnacentral:snoRNA from 1 species